UCUGCCUCAUACUUUUUAUCGUUGGCCUCAGAUCAGGGAGGAUC
rnacentral:rRNA from 1 species